UAACUUGAUGGCGAUGACUCUCUAGCACAG
rnacentral:piRNA from 1 species